rnacentral:rRNA from 1 species
GACGAACGCUGGCGGCGUGCUUAACACAUGCAAGUCGAACGAUGAACCGGAGCUUGCUCCGGGGAUUAGUGGCGAACGGGUGAGUAACACGUGGGCAACCUGCCCCAGACACCGGGAUAACCUUCCGAAAGGAUGGCUAAUACCGGAUAUGACCACUUCGGGCAUCCGACGGUGGUGGAAAGGAUUCUGGUCUGGGAUGGGCCCGCGGCCUAUCAGCUUGUUGGUGGGGUAAUGGCCUACCAAGGCGACGACGGGUAGCCGGCCUGAGAGGGCGACCGGCCACACUGGGACUGAGACACGGCCCAGACUCCUACGGGAGGCAGCAGUGGGGAAUAUUGCGCAAUGGGCGAAAGCCUGACGCAGCGACGCCGCGUGAGGGACGAAGGUCUUCGGAUUGUAAACCUCUUUCAGCAGGGACGAAGCGAAAGUGACUGUACCUGCAGAAGAAGCACCGGCUAACUACGUG